GAUCAUGGCUCAGAUUGAACGCUGGCGGCAGGCCUAACACAUGCAAGUCGAGCGGAUGAAGAGAGCUUGCUCUCUGAUUCAGCGGCGGACGGGUGAGUAAUGCCUAGGAAUCUGCCUGAUAGUGGGGGACAACGUUUCGAAAGGAACGCUAAUACCGCAUACGUCCUACGGGAGAAAGCAGGGGACCUUCGGGCCUUGCGCUAUUGAU
rnacentral:rRNA from 1 species